GACGAACGCUGGCGGCGUGCCUAAUACAUGCAAGUAGAACGCUGAAGCUUGGUGCUUGCACCGAGCGGAUGAGUUGCGAACGGGUGAGUAACGCGUAGGUAACCUGCCUGGUAGCGGGGGAUAACUAUUGGAAACGAUAGCUAAUACCGCAUAAGAGUAGAUGUUGCAUGACAUUUGCUUAAAAGGUGCAAUUGCAUCACUACCAGAUGGACCUGCGUUGUAUUAGCUAGUUGGUGAGGUAACGGCUCACCAAGGCAACGAUACAUAGCCGACCUGAGAGGGUGAUCGGCCACACUGGGACUGAGACACGGCCCAGACUCCUACGGGAGGCAGCAGGAGGGAAUCUUCGGCAAUGGACGGAAGUCUGACCGAGCAACGCCGCGUGAGUGAAGAAGGGUUUCGGAUCGUAAAGCUCUGUUGUAAGAGAAGAACGAGUGUGAGAGUGGAAAGUUCACACUGUGACGGUAUCUUACCAGAAAGGGACGGCUAACUACGUG
rnacentral:rRNA from 1 species